rnacentral:rRNA from 1 species
UUAGGAAUCUUGGACAAUGGGCGAAAGCCUGAUCCAGCCAUGCCGCGUGAGUGAUGAAGGCCUUCGGGUUGUAAAGCUCUUUAGCCGAUGAAUAUAAUGACUGUAGUCGGAGAAUAAGCCCCGGCUAACUUCGUGCCAGCAGCCGCGGUAAUACGAAGGGGGCGAGCGUUGUUCGGAAUCACUGGGCGUAAAGCGUGCGUAGGUGGCGAUGAAAGUUAGGAGUGAAAGCCCAGGGCUCAACCUUGGAAUUGCUCUUAAAACUACAUUGCUCGAAUCUCGGAGAGGAUAGCGGAAUUGUCAGUGUAGCAGUGAAAUGCGUAGAUAUUGACAGGAACACCAGUGGCGUAAGCGGCUAUCUGGACGAGUAUUGACACUGAGGCACGAAAGCGUGGAGAUCAAACAG